rnacentral:lncRNA from 1 species
GGAAGAUGGAACUAUAUUGAUCCAAAACUCAAUAUAAACCCUUGAUUUUUCAGCCAUGUAACAUUAGAAUUAGAAGGAAUUUAGGAAGUAUGCAUGACAAUUCUUUUAUUUCACAGACACAGAAAAGGAGGAUUGAAAGGAAAUGACCUAUUCAAGAUCACACAUCAAAUGAGUUCAGACGACCUUGGAUUUGGUGCCUGUGACUCUAUUCUGCUGACUUUCCAUGGUCUCAGGGAAGACAGGCUGGAGGGAACCUGGUCUGUGGCAAUGGAUGUAUGGAAAGAGGGGAGGAGUCCAUUGCUUUGUGUAUGACAGUGGAAGGGCAAUCAUACCCUGAGCCUGACUUUCGUACAGACUGAAUCUUCUGUGUCUGGACAGCCCACUCUGCUUACCUACACCCUGUGGACUUCCACCUUCUCCUGCUGAUGCCUCUCAUCAAUGGAUAAUUCUUCUCUAGUGCCUUUGGUUUAUUCUUGAUGAGAUAAUUCUUCUCUAGUGCCUUUGGUUUAUUCUUCACGAGAAGUCCUCAGUUUGCUGUGUCUUAGGCUCUGUGUCUUUCAUGCCCUGCCCACCAUGUGCCUUUGUCUCACCAUAUAGUCCCAUUCCCCAAUGAUCUCUGUCACAUAGGAAAAACAAGAUGGCAUAGAAAAGAAAGAGACUUGUAGUCAGGCCAUCAGUCUGCUUCAUCACAGUUUGGAUAUGGGACUUUGGGGAAAUUAUUUAAACUCUCUGAAUCUUAGUUUCUUUAAAAAAAAAUGAGGAAUAGAAAUAUAUUCUUCGCAGUGUAAAUUAUGUAGAGCACCUAAGGUAAUGUUUGGUACAUGAUUGGCAUUUUACACAUGCCAUUAUAUUAUUUUAAGAUCCUUGUGUAGUUGGACAUUACUUUUAUUCAUAUUUUACCACAUAGCAGCUUUACUUUGCUUAGAAGCUAGAAUAGAGCUGAAACACUAAAACAUGGUAUGGGGGUCCCUGGGUGGUGCAGCGGUUUAGCGCCUGCCUUUGGCCCAGGGCGUGAUCCUGGAGACCCAGGAUC